rnacentral:lncRNA from 1 species
CCUCAAGUUAUGUUGAAUUAUUGAUAAAUGACAGGUGUUUAUAUAAUACCUGUCAGACAGAUAUGUUCACCUUACAAUAUAGUACAAAUAAUAUAGUUUGCUAUCAUAUCUGAGAUACUGACUUGAACUAGGAAACUUAACUUUGUGAAUUAUCAACGAUGACGUGGUCAAAUGAGAACUGUUAGAUUGGCAUUAUGACCAUGUAGUUGCACACAUACAAAAAACGUUAGCGUAUAACUUAUAAUAGAGAAUCAACAUAGCAAACAAUUCUUCGAGUAGCUAUAUAGUCACUCACUGAACUAUGAAAAAGAGGUUCAAGACAAUCAUAUUAAAACAGAUAAAUUGUAAUAUUGGGGCUAAAGAUACCAGAUGAACAGCAAAC